AUUGCUUCUCAGCCUUUUGGCUAAGAUCAUGUGUAGUAUCUGUUCUUAUCGGUGGAGGGGGUAUAUCACUGGUGAAGCAGAGCAGCACUU
rnacentral:snRNA from 1 species